rnacentral:rRNA from 1 species
CCAAACGACUCUCGGCAACGGAUAUCUCGGCUCUCGCAUCGAUGAAGAACGUAGCGAAAUGCGAUACUUGGUGUGAAUUGCAGAAUCCCGUGAACCAUCGAGUCUUUGAACGCAAGUUGCGCCCGAAGCCUUCGGGCCGAGGGCACGUCUGCCUGGGUGUCAUGC